rnacentral:lncRNA from 1 species
CUGGAAGGGAAUGCAUCAAAUCAAAAUGCACUAUGCUUCAAGCUCAGUGAACUUAGGUGUGGUGGUUUUUUUUUGUUUUAGUUCCUCUGCCUCUUUGACAUCAACAGAAAAAUGAGUUUGUUUCAAAUUUAUCAGCCGUCUGGCAUCUCAAUGUAUUAUCUUCAUAAUGAUAAAGAUGCUCUUAGAAAACAUGCUGAUAGUCUUAUAUCUUUGUCAUAUCAUGAUUAGAAAGCGGGAACAUAAAUUAGAAGUGAAACACUGGCCCUGGUGCUGAUUUGUUUUCCUUACCUAAGUUUUCAAUGGUGUAGUAUCUUUGUUUAUAGUCCACCUUGAUGGUCUGUGCAUGAGGACUGCCAAUGCCAUACCCUAUAGCAUAGCCUCUUACCACGAUGUUCUGGUUUUCAGGUGGAGUCCAGCUCACCACAAUACUGGUGACAAGUGGACGGACAUGUAAGGAGCUUGGAACUUCAGGAACACGAGUUUCUGUUAAACAAAAAUAAUGGAUUUAAAGGAUUGCUCUUACAUAAAGGGAAAUCUUGCAUCACAAACCUUCGGGAGAGCUCUUAAGAAACAAAGCAACCACGGGAUAGGAGGGAAGUCCUUCCCGAGUACACAACUGGCUAAAAGAAAGAGAAGGAAAUGCUGUUACUAUCUCCUGCUUUCAGGAUUACAAACGAUUGAUUUAAUAAUGUCUGUGCUGGAGUCCAAACAAAGCCAUGCAACAGUUUUCCACAUGACCACAAUUAAAAUAAAAACACUCCAAAAGCAGAAGUCUGCUCAUAGGUAAAAAUAUUAUAAAAGCUAAAAAACAAUUUGGAGUGGUUGGGUUCAAUAUAAUUAUGUUUCUGUCCACUCUUAAUACUUUGUAGACCCAAUAACCCAUGAAAUAAACUUCUGUUGUUGAAAUUAAGGACACCGUUGUUUUGUAAUUGGAAUACUGGAUACUUUUGCAGGUAUAUUAAUUUUCCUUCGCUCAAUUUGGAAAGCCCCAGGGGAACUUUCGGCAUGCAUGGCCAUAUGCAGAAACCACGUUAUUAAUAAAGCAGCGCAGCGCUGAACAAUGACCUGAGAAGUCUUUCUGGUUUGAAAUCCACUUAAAGGAAAUUACCACAUAAUUCCUGCAAAAAGCCUUGGAAUAAAGCAGCUUACCAUCUGACAGCGUACGUACAACAACAUCUUGCGUAGAGACGCCAGGGCCAUGUUUAUUGUAAGCUACCACUCGGAAACUAUACUCUGUGUAUUUCUUCAAUCCAUUAAUGGUGUAGGAGAGUCCUGCUACAUCAACAUCCUGUUCAUAAGCAAAUAGACAUACGAGUCAAGGUCAGAAUCAGGUCUGCAGUUACAAACCUCUCAGACUUUCAGUUCAGUAAUACUCAAAGCCUAAAGCAGGAAGGAC